AUUGAACGCUGGCGGCAGGCCUAACACAUGCAAGUCGAGCGGAGCGGCGGACGGGUGAGUAAUGCCUAGGAAUCUGCCUGGCAGUUGGGGAUAACGUCCGGACACGGGCGCUAAUACCGCAUCCUAUUUGAUGACCCUAGGUGGGAUUAGCUAGUUGGUGGGGUAAAGGCCUACCAAGGCGACGAACCGUAACUGGUCUGAGAGGAUGAUCAGUCACACUGGAACUGAGACACGGUCCAGACUCCUACGGGAGGCAGCAGUGGGGAAUAUUGGACAAUGGGCGAAAGCCUGAUGCAGCCAUGCCGCGUGAGGGAAGAAGGUCUUCGGAUUGUAAAGCACUUUAAGUUGGGAGGCGUUACCAACAGAAUAAGCACCGGCUAACUUCGUGCCAGCAGCCGCGGUAAUAC
rnacentral:rRNA from 1 species